UGCAAAGUCGAGCGGAAACGAGUUAUCUGAACCUUCGGGGAACGAUAACGGCGUCGAGCGGCGGACGGGUGAGUAAUGCCUAGGAAAUUGCCCUGAUGUGGGGGAUAACCAUUGGAAACGAUGGCUAAUACCGCAUGAUGCCUACGGGCCAAAGAGGGGGACCUUCGGGCCUCUCGCGUCAGGAUAUGCCUAGGUGGGAUUAGCUAGUUGGUGAGGUAAGGGCUCACCAAGGCGACGAUCCCUAGCUGGUCUGAGAGGAUGAUCAGCCACACUGGAACUGAGACACGGUCCAGACUCCUACGGGAGGCAGCAGUGGGGAAUAUUGCACAAUGGGCGCAAGCCUGAUGCAGCCAUGCCGCGUGUAUGAAGAAGGCCUUCGGGUUGUAAAGUACUUUC
rnacentral:rRNA from 1 species